rnacentral:tRNA from 1 species
CAGGUAAGAUGGCCGAGUGACAGGCGGUGGGUUGUAGCCCCAUACACAGAGGUUCAACCCCUCUUCUUAUCA